CAGUAGCCACGGUAAUACGGAGGGUGCAAGCGUUAAUCGGAAUUACUGGGCGUAAAGCGCACGCAGGCGGUCUGACAAGUCAGAUGUGAAAUCCCCGGGCUUAACCUGGGAACUGCAUUUGAAACUGUCAGGCUGGAGUCUUGUAGAGGGGGGUGGAAUUCCAGGUGUAGCGGUGAAAUGCGUAGAGAUCUGGAGGAAUACCGGUGGCGAAGGCAGCCCCCUGGACAAAGACUGACGCUCAGGUGCGAAAGCGUGGGGAGCAAACAGGAUUAGAUACCCCUGUAGUCCCUGUCUCUUAUAC
rnacentral:rRNA from 1 species